rnacentral:rRNA from 1 species
UACGGAGGGUGCAAGCGUUAUCCGGAUUCACUGGGUUUAAAGGGUGCGUAGGAGGGCAGGUAAGUCAGUGGUGAAAUCCCCAAGCUUAACUUGGGAACUGCCGUUGAUACUAUCUGUCUUGAAUACCGUGGAGGUGAGCGGAAUAUGUCAUGUAGCGGUGAAAUGCUUAGAUAUGACAUAGAACACCGAUGGCGAAGGCAGCUCGCUGGGACGGUACUGACGCUGAGGCGCGAAAGCGUGGGGAGCAAACAGG